rnacentral:rRNA from 1 species
ANNNNNNUGNNGGCNGGCCUAUACAUGCAGUCGAGCGGUAGAGAUUCUUUCGGGGAUCUUGAGAGCGGCGCACGGGUGCGUAACGCGUAUGCAACCUACCUUAUACCGGGGGAUAGCCCGGGGAAACCCGGAUUAAUACCCCAUGGUACCAUUUGAUGGCAUCUGAGAAUGGUUAAAGAUUUAUCGGUAUAAGAUGGGCAUGCGUAGGAUUAGCUAGUUGGUAGGGUAACGGCCUACCAAGGCGACGAUCCUUAGGGGUUCUGAGAGGAAGGUCCCCCACACUGGCACUGAGAUACGGGCCAGACUCCUACGGGAGGCAGCAGUAGGGAAUAUUGGGCAAUGGUCGGAAGACUGACCCAGCCAUGCCGCGUGCAGGAAGAAGGCGUUAUGCGUUGUAAACUGCUUUUAUACGGGAAGAAAAAGCAACUGCGGUUGAAAUUGCCGGUACCGUAUGAAUAAGCACCGGCUAACUCCGUGCCAGCAGCCGCGGUAAUACGGAGGGUGCAAGCGUUGUCCGGAUUUAUUGGGUUUAAAGGGUGCGUAGGCGGCCUGAUAAGUCAGCGGUGAAAUACCCAGGCUCAACCUGGGGGGUGCCGUUGAUACUGUUAGGCUUGAGUACGUUCCGUGUACAUGGAAUUUAUGGUGUAGCGGUGAAAUGCAUAGAUACCAUAAGGAACACCGAUAGCGAAGGCAUUGUACAGGGGCGUAACUGACGCUGAUGCACGAAAGCGUGGGUAGCGAACAGGAUUAGAUACCCUGGUAGUCCACGCCGUAAACGAUGAUCACUCGCUGUUCCACUGCAUAGUGGAGCGGCCAAGCGAAAGCGUUAAGUGAUCCACCUGGGGAGUACGCCGGCAACGGUGAAACUCAAAGGAAAUUGACGGA